rnacentral:tRNA from 1 species
GGGUGUAUAGCUCAGUGGUAGAGUGCAUGCUUAGCAUGCAGGAGGUCCUGGGUUCAAUUCCCAGUACCUCUU